GCUGCCGUAGCUCAGUGGUAGAGCACUCCCUUGGUAAGGGAGAGGUCGGAAGUUCAAGCCUUCUCGGCAGCA
rnacentral:tRNA from 1 species